AACACGUGGGGAACCUGCCCCAUAGUCUGGGAUACCACUUGGAAACAGGUGCUAAUACCGGAUAAGAAAGCGGAUCGCAUGAUCAGCUUUUAAAAGGCGGCGUAAGCUGUCGCUAUGGGAUGGCCCCGCGGUGCAUUGGCUAGUUGGUAAGGUAAAGGCUUACCAAGGCGAUGAUGCAUAGCCGAGUUGAGAGACUGAUCGGCCACAUUGGGACUGAGACACGGCCCAAACUCCUACGGGAGGCAGCAGUA
rnacentral:rRNA from 1 species